rnacentral:rRNA from 1 species
CCUACGGGAGACAGCAGUGAGGAAUAUUGGUCAAUGGGCGGGAGCCUGAACCAGCCAAGCCGCGUGAAGGAAGAAGGCGCCAGGCGUCGUAAACUUCUUUUGUCGGGGAACAAAGGGCGCCACGCGUGGCGUUGUGAGUGUACCCGAAGAAAAAGCAUCGGCUAACUCCGUGCCAGCAGCCGCGGUAAUACGGGGGAUGCGAGCGUUAUCCGGAUUUAUUGGGUUUAAAGGGUGCGUAGGCGGUCCGGAAAGUCAGCGGUAAAAGCCCGGGGCCAAACCCCGGCGAGCCGUUGAAACUGGCGGACUAGAGACGGCGAGAGGGAGGCAGAAUGCGAGGUGUAGCGGUGAAAUGCAUAGAUAUCGCGAAGAAUACCGAUGGCGAAGGCAGCGCACCGG